CCCUCAGUUGCUGAUGUGCUGAUUGAAUUGAAUCUCCCAUUUUUGCCAGUCGAGCUUCACGAGUUCAGGCAAAAACACCCACGAGAUAAGAUUGGUAUUGAAACAGUACAGCCGCGCUUUACCCACUAAUUCUUUCCCACUCUCUGCUUUUCUAAGAAGCUCAUGUUGGGUUCUUCUAAUUCUUCCAGAAAGAAGCAGCAACUGAAGUCAGAAAAAGAAUGGCUGUCGGUGAGUUUCAGACCCGAAAACUUCAUUCCAGGCCUCGUAAUUGGUUUCAUUCUUGGGUUGUUUUUGGAUUUGUCAAAACCCAGUAGAGGCAAUGCUAAGAAGGGUUAUUUCCUGCCGUCAAAGUACCAACAGCUAUCUCCUUCAAACAACGGUGAUCAAGAGCUCAAGUUGGUCCUUGUUGUUAGGCAAGAUCUGAAGAUGGGUUCUGGAAAAAUUGCAUCUCAAUGUGCUCAUGCUGCUACUGGCUUGUAUGCAGAACUAAUGCAAAGCCACCGAAACCUUUUGAGACAGUGGGAGCUAUGUGGGCAGCCAAAAAUAGUUGUAACAUGCAAGAACCAGCAAGAAAUGAAUAAACUAAAGGAUGCAGCUGAGAACAUUGGCCUUCCUACUUUUGUUGUUGCUGAUGCUGGACGCACACAGGUACAAACUUUGUUCUGCACUCACCUACUCGGAUGACUUUAGAAGCAUUUUGAUUAAUGCAUGAGAAAUGGUGGGGUAACUAACUGGGUAACAGAUAUCAGAAAGUCAAGGUUAUGAGGUCUCCAAAGUGCAAAGAAUAGCUAUUGGUCGUUCAGUAUUGUAUAUAAUGGCUGCAAAACCCUUGGUUUGUAGUUGAUGGAAAGAAUCACUUGGCUCUUUGAAGAGCGAAUCUUUCCUAGUCCAAAUUUGUAUGCUAUCAUUUUGACUAUGGAGCACAUAUGCUUCAUGUGAGGUUUCGGCUGGAUCGAAGACUGUUCUUGCCAUUGGACCUGGGCCAAAGGAGGCCAUUGAUGCGGUAACUGGGAAACUCCGCCUACUCUAGCCGGGUUGGAACCGGACAUGUAUUUGAAACGUAAAUGAUGAGUCGGCAUUUUUAUCCUCCAGCAUUCAACUUCUUGAGAGGGGUUCGUGCACAUGGUGAACAAGUUACAGCUGCUGGAAAUGAAGAAAUGCUGUACGUUGGUAUUGUUAUGCCUGAAACAUUGCUUAGCUAUUGCUGUUAGCUGCUUGUAGUUUGGGGAUGUAGGAGUAACAUUUGAGCUGACAUGUUCAAAAGAUGUAACCUUGGAUGUUGAAGAAUGUUUUAAGUGACUAGAGUCUAUGGACAACUUUUCAAAACGUUUGUAUGACUCACUGUAGGUGGAUGACUGGCAACUGUGGUAGUUUAAUUUUAUUGGUAGUUGAUAAUUUAUUAAGCAAA